rnacentral:snoRNA from 1 species
AUCCUCAGGUUCAUAAGCAUGAUGAUUGGGUGUUCAUGCUCCAUGCAUGACGUAUGCCUCCUUUGAACCUGUUACAACAUCGGCACAUUAUCCAUCUGACG